UACGUAGGUGGCAAGCGUUGUCCGGAAUUAUUGGGCGUAAAGCGCGCGCAGGUGGUUUCUUAAGUCUGAUGUGAAAGCCCACGGCUCAACCGUGGAGGGUCAUUGGAAACUGGGGGACUUGAGUACAGAAGAGAAGAGUGGAAUUCCACGUGUAGCGGUGAAAUGCGUAGAGAUGUGGAGGAACACCAGUGGCGAAGGCGACUCUUUGGUCUGUAACUGACGCUGAGGCGCGAAAGCGUGGGGAGCGAACAGG
rnacentral:rRNA from 1 species